rnacentral:sRNA from 1 species
GUCCGACGUGGAAGUUGCUGGCUGACUGGGCUUGCGAGGAAACCGCCUCGGAGCUGCAGCCGAAGGCCAAGGAAUCACUGAAGAUCGGCGAGGGAGGACAGGGGGUUCAUCAUGGGUGGCUUUUUCUCAAGUAUAUUUUCCAGUCUGUUUGGAACUCGGGAAAUGAGAAUUUUAAUUUUGGGAUUAGAUGGAGCAGGAAAAACCACAAUUUUGUACAGAUUACAAGUUGGAGAAGUUGUUACUACUAUACCUAGUAAGUGUUGGUAUGAUGAGCUAAUUGUAGGGACUUUCUGGUCUCCAUCCAACAUAACUCUAUUUCUUUCUUUCUUUUUUGUUUGUUUUAGUAGAGAUCAGGUAUCAUCACUAUGUUGCCCAAGCUGGUCUUAGACUCUUGGCCUCAAGUGAUCCUCCUGCCUUGGCCUCCCAAAGUGCUGGGAUUACAGGUGUGAGCCACCUCACCCAGCCAUGGAAGUUAUUUUUUACCUAUUUUUCACCUAAGAAGGAUGGCAGAGAAAAGGGAUGGGACACCUGCCCUUUGACCACCCAGCCAUGACCUUAUUACAAGUGAGUUCUGGAGGAUGUCUGCAGAUGGGCUGUGAGAUUGAAAGCUGCAGCCAUGGCUGUGUCCAUGCUGUAGUUUAGAACUGAAGUUUAGCUUUUUUUUGCUUUUGGUCUGUUUAUUUGCUGCCAGCCAAAAUUCUGCUUUUUAUAGUACAUCCACAACUGUAC